GAUGAACGCUAGCGACAGGCCUAACACAUGCAAGUCGAGGGGUAGCACAGAGAUAGCUUGCUAUUUUGGGUGACGACCGGCGCACGGGUGAGUAACGCGUAUGCAACCUGCCUAUAAGAGGGGGAUAGCCUUUCGAAAGAAAGAUUAAUACCGCAUAAUACUGUUGAUCUGCAUGGAUUGAUAGUUAAACUAAUUGGCUUAUAGAUGGGCAUGCGUUCCAUUAGAUAGUUGGUGAGGUAACGGCUCACCAAGUCAGCGAUGGAUAGGGGUUCUGAGAGGAAGGUCCCCCACACUGGUACUGAGACACGGACCAGACUCCUACGGGAGGCAGCAGUGAGGAAUAUUGGUCAAUGGGCGAGAGCCUGAACCAGCCAAGUCGCGUGAAGGAUGAAGGUCUUAUGGAUU
rnacentral:rRNA from 1 species